UACGAAGGGGGCUAGCGUUGCUCGGAAUCACUGGGCGUAAAGGGUGCGUAGGCGGUCGGGUAAGUCUGAUGUGAAAUCCCACAGCUUAACUGUGAAACUGCAUUGGAUACUAUCCGGCUAGAGGAAUGGAGGGGAGACUGGAAUACUUGGUGUAGCAGUGAAAUGCGUAGAUAUCAAGUGGAACACCAGUGGCGAAGGCGAGUCUCUGGACAUUUACUGACGCUCAGGCACGAAAGCAUGGGGAGCAAAAGGG
rnacentral:rRNA from 1 species